AGUGCUAAAGUGUCCUUUUAUAUUAAUUAUCAUAGAACCAAAGACAAGCUCUGGGAGAAAUAUUGUAACUGUUAGAUCUUGUCUCCCUCCCUGGGACUGCAUGACAACCAAAGGCACUAUUGUCUUGUGUAGCGGGCCCUCUGAUUGGGUCUUGAGGUUUUAUUUGGUUCCAACAAUGAAGAAAUCUGUGCAUUGACUCCUGAUUUUGAACCCAUAAAGGACCUUGGAAAGGAAUGAUUCCGGUGCCCUCUUUUCUGGACCCACCAGAUGAGUGGAUCAUCAUUCUGCGGGCAGAUCAAGCCUCUGAUUCCCAGAAUGUGACCAAACCAGCUCAGCCUUCGAAUGAAAGCAUUGCCACGAUUUUAACCUUUCAAACAAUUUGCAGAAGACGUUAGGCGUGCUCCGAGGCCUCCGUCCCUCAGAUUUGUAGUAGCCCUUUCAAAACCAUUGGCAUUUUCCCUGACCACAACCCAACUUCCGGUCUUAUUUCCUGACAAUCAUUCACAGGGCCACUCGCUUGGGCCCACUUCCGGUACCUGUCCCCCCCCCCCCCCCAACAGACUGGAAAAGGAAACUCAGAAUAUCUGGGUCUUGAGCGUACGAGCCACGUGACCCUAAGCUUCUCUGCACGUUGAUAGUCUCAUCCUUGGGUUUAAUUCUGGUUCGCGGGUCUACUGCCUAUUACGGGCUGGAUUGCGUCUUUCCCGCAAAUACCUGUAUUGAAGUUCUAACCUCGCGGUGUCUCAGGAAGCAAGUGUGUGCGGAGGCAAGGUCUUUAAAGGGGUAAUGAAGUUAAAAGGAAGUUUUUAAGAGGGGCUCUAAUCCAACGUACCUGGAAUCCUUCUAAGAAGAGGCAACGUGGUUACAGAUACGCAGGGAGGGAAGACCGUGUGAGGACCCCGGGAGAAGAAGACCAUCUAUACGCCAAGGAGAGAGAGGCCUCAGAGAAAACCACUCCUGCUGGCACCUUGACCUUGGACCUCGAGCCUCCAGAGCUGGGCGGAAAUAUAUUUCCAUUAUUUGAGCCACGAAGUCUGUGGUAUUCUGUUACGGCAGCCCUGGUGAUUUAAUAUGGAUUUUGGUAUUGGGGGCUGGGUACCUCUAUGAAAAAUGCCCCCCAGAAUGUGGAAGUGGCUUUGGAACUGGCUAAUGAGUAGAGGCUUGGGAGAGUUUUGAAGCACAUGCUAGAAAAACCUAGAUUGCCUCGAAGAGACUGUUGGUAGAAAUACGGAUGUUCAAGGUGAUUCUGUUGAGGGCUCAGAUGGAAAUGAGGAAUAUGUUAUUGGACACUGGGAAGGCCAUCUUUGCCAUAAAAUGAACUUGGCUCACUUGGGUUCUGGGGUUUGGUGGAAGGUAGCAAUUGUGUAUAAUACAUUUGUAUAUUUAAGCUGAGGA
rnacentral:lncRNA from 1 species